rnacentral:rRNA from 1 species
UACGAAGGGGGCUAGCGUUGCUCGGAAUCACUGGGCGUAAAGCGCACGUAGGCGGAUUGUUAAGUCAGGGGUGAAAUCCUGGAGCUCAACUCCAGAACUGCCUUUGAUACUGGCGAUCUCGAGUCCGGGAGAGGUGAGUGGAACUGCGAGUGUAGAGGUGAAAUUCGUAGAUAUUCGCAAGAACACCAGUGGCGAAGGCGGCUCAUUGGCCCGGUACUGACGCUGAGGAGCGAAAGCGUGGGGAGCGAACAGG